rnacentral:lncRNA from 1 species
ACUUAGUUACUAGAAUGUUUUUCUCAACUAUGAAUCUGACUUCACUCCCUUUCUUGAAAACCUCCUGUAGUUCCUGUUGUGUACGGGAUAAAGACUGUGAGCCCCUGGAGUUCAGGGACCAUUUCUUAAUCAUAUUCCAGAACCUAUCACAAUGAAUGACACGAAGAAUAUAUUUGAUAAAAAUCUGAUGAAUGAACCACUCUAAAAUGCAACUCUAAUAAAGAAAAUUACUGCCUAUUCAGUUGGAACUGUACCAUGUUACAAACGUAAAAUUAUGUAUAGUCUGAUAAAGAAAUACUAUAAUAGCCUUGGAAACAGCUCACAUACAAUUUUUUUUAUAAAUGGAUUCAUUACCAUAUAACUGGACCAGCUUACUGAAGAGUAGCCCUACAGCAGUCACUUCGCAGUUUGCAAUUCAUUUGAGGUUCAAAGCUAGCUCAAGGGAAAACAACGUUAGUAUUAACAAACUUAUUUUUAAGCUUAAGGUCAGAAUUUAAGGGAAAAUAAAUAAAUAUAGUAUGUUCUAAGAAUCCAAAGGAAUUUUUAAAAAUUGCCCCCUGCAGCUGUAAUUUCUGCAUGGAUGAGAAAACCUUAAUUGCUUGCUGGCUUCCAAGAAAGCCAUUAACCUGCAUUUAAAAAUUCAGCUUUCAUCAAGAACAACCUCACAUAUCCAGCUCUCAUGGAAAAAGGAAUAGAAGCCUCUGACCUAGUUUUCAAUUAUUACCAAACUACUGAUAAUUGAUCUCCUGGUCUCCAGGUUUGUUUGUUUUACUAAAAUAAAUUCCCUCUGGAGCUGCAGGUGCUUACCAUGGGGCUGCGCAGGUGGAAAGCAGCCCAGUCUUACUAUGAGGAUGUCCGUUUGCCAUCUGGGAACAAGGAGGAAGAAGCAGAGACCUGGGCAAGACCUCAGAGAAUAAAUUAUCUCAAUGGCUACUUACAUGGUCCAGCAUAGCAGAAAAAAAAGCCACACUGAGCAAGCAGUGGUCCUUUCCAUGCUACACAAGCAAGAAAUGCCUAUAAAGACAGACUUGAGUGCAGUCUAAAGAAUCUUUUGCUUUGCCUUAACACUCUACUUCUGGAUAUCCUUGCUCAAAAAGAAGUCUACUCAAGGUGUGUAUCUUUCCUCUUUAUAAGCCCUCUGGCCUCAGGAAGACUGGUUUCAUUCAUGUGGUCAUGUUUUUGCACAGCUUAAGACUAAACUGUAUGAUCCUUCCUUCUGGGCUCCUACAAGGGCAUGCCAAAGUCCCCUCAAAUAACCAAAACGGUGCACAUCCCCUUUGCGUCCCACAGCAGUCUGCUAGUUUAUGUAAUACCAUAAUGACAGCUAUCUGGAGUGGAACAGUGACACUGCUUUUUCCCAGACUACUUCACCAUGUGAGGUAAACGGUAGAGGCAGCAAUAGGUCUGCUCAGUCUAUGGCUAAUACAAGACCUUGCUUAUGAUAGACUUCAAGAGCUUCUUAUUAGCCAGCUGUUAAUUCAUACAAACUGCACAGAAAUUCAUUCUGGAGCAAUAUUAUUUGUUUCACAUUAUACUUAACCUUGAAAAGGUUAGUUUUUCAAUGGGGGAUGAUUAUCCUGGAUAGAUGCAUACCCCCUACAAACAUGAAACUGGCAAGUUCACUAAAGAUUUCUCAAGAGCCACCAAGCUAGCAAAAGUCGCAACCAAAUAAUAUUAUAUACUCUGCCCUUCAGAGCAACCUUCUUCAUGCUGAAGUCUUCAGUUCACAGAAUGACUGACUUAUUUUCAAAAGAGGAAGGCUGUAUUGCAUAUUGUAACUCUCUCCAAAUCUAUACUUAUGAGCUAAUUCUUCAAAAGGUAAGAUCAAUUACCACACAGAAGGAGAAGCCAUCCAUUUUCUUGAAGCUGUCAAAAUUUGAGCUGUCUCCCAUAGGAUUUCCACUGACAGUUAAUGAAAAAAAUCAGUAUCUGUCAAUUUUGGAAGAAAUUUAAAAGUGGUAAGAUAUUCUUAUAAAUCGAUGUUAAAAUUUUGGUAUAAUUAUUGUAUAUUUGGAUUACUUUAUUUGCUUUCCUCCAAAUCAUUUCUUUACUAAAUUUCCCUAAGUUAGCUUAAUAAUGAGGUUUUCUUAAGGAGAAAUCUGUUGGUUAUACACAUAAAUUGCUAACA